AUUGAACGCUGGCGGCAGGCCUAACACAUGCAAGUCGAGCGAGAGGCGGACGGGUGAGUAAUGUAUGGGGACUGCCCGCUAGAGGGGGAUAAGUACUGGAAACGGUAGCUAAUAUCGCCUACUAUCGGAAAACCCAUAUGGGAUUAGCUAGUAGGUGGGGUAAUGGCUCACCUAGGCGACGAUCCCUAGCUGGUCUGGGAGGAUGAUCAGCCACCCUGGGACUGAGACACGGCCCAUACGCCUACGGAGGCAGCAGUGGGCAAUAUGGCACAAUGGGCGGAAGCCUGAUGCAGCCAUGCCGCGUGUAUGAAGGAGGCCCUAGGGUUGUAAUGUACUUUCAGUCGGGAGGCGUUACCGACAGAAGAAGCACCGGCUAACUCCGUGCCAGCAGCCGCGGUAAUUC
rnacentral:rRNA from 1 species